rnacentral:rRNA from 1 species
CCUACGGGUGGCAGCAGUGAGGAAUAUUGGUCAAUGGACGAGAGUCUGAACCAGCCAAGUAGCGUGAAGGAUGACUGCCCUAUGGGUUGUAAACUUCUUUUAUAUGGGAAUAAAAUGUUCCACGUGUGGGAUUUUGUAUGUACCAUAUGAAUAAGGAUCGGCUAACUCCGUGCCAGCAGCCGCGGUAAUACGGAGGAUCCGAGCGUUAUCCGGAUUUAUUGGGUUUAAAGGGAGCGUAGGUGGAUUGUUAAGUCAGUUGUGAAAGUUUGCGGCUCAACCGGAAAAUUGCAGUUGAAACUGGCAGUCUUGAGUACAGUAGAGGUGAGCGGAAUUCGUGGUGUAGCGGUGAAAUGCUUAGAUAUAACGAAGAACUCCGAUUGCGAAGGCAGUUCACUGGACUGCAACUGACACUGAGGCUCGAAAGUGUGGGUAUCAAACAGGAUUAGAUACCCUUGUAGUC